rnacentral:rRNA from 1 species
CAAGUCGGGGGUGCCAGCAAUGGCAACCGGCGUAAGGGGCAGUAAGGCGUGGGUACCUACCCCGGGGUCCGGGAUAGCCUUCAGAGAUGGAGGGUAAUACCGGAUGACCUCGGGAGAGCAAAGACUUGUCGCCCCGGGAGGGGCCCACGUGAUAUUAGCUAGUUGGCGGGGUAACGGCCCACCAAGGCUUAGAUGUCUAGCGGGUGUGAGAGCACGACCCGCGCCACUCGCACUGAGACACUGGCGAGACACCUACGGGUGGCUGCAGUCGAGGAUCUUCGGCAAUGGGGGCAACCCUGACCGAGCGAUGCCGCGUGCGCGAUGAAGGCCCUCGGGUUGUAAAGCGCUGUCGAGGGGGAGAAAAGCUCCGCAAGGGGCCUGAUCUAUCCCUGGAGGAAGCUCGGGCUAAGUUCGUGCCAGCAGCCGCGGUAAGACGAACCGAGCGAACGUUGUUCGGAAUCACUGGGCUUAAAGGGCGCGUAGGCGGGCCGCCGCGUCCGGGGUGAAAUCCUCCCGCUCAACGGGAGAACGGCCUCGGAUACGGGCGGCCUGGAGGGGGGUAGGGGCGUGCGGAACUGUGGGUGGAGCGGUGAAAUGCGUUGAUAUCCACAGGAACUCCGGUGGCGAAGGCGGCACGCUGGACCCCACCUGACGCUGAGGCGCGAAAGCCAGGGGAGCGAACGGGAUUAGAUACCCCGGUAGUCCUGGCCCUAAACGAUGGGUACUAGGUAGUAGACUUGACAUGGGUUUACUGCCGGAGCCAAAGUGCUAAGUACCCCGCCUGGGGAGUAUGGUCGCAAGGCUGAAACU